rnacentral:hammerhead_ribozyme from 1 species
AUUCAGCUGACGAGUCCUAAAUAGAACGAAAUGCUCAUGAUGGAU